UACGUAGGGAGCAAGCGUUGUCCGGAAUCAUUGGGCGUAAAGCGCGCGUAGGUGGCCUCAUAAGUCCGCUGUGAAAGUCAAAGGCUCAACCUUUGAAAGCCGGUGGAUACUGUGGGGCUAGAGUACGGAAGAGGCGAGUGGAAUUCCGGGUGUAGCGGUGGAAUGCGUAGAGAUCCGGAAGAACACCAGUGGCGAAGGCGGCCCGCUGGGCAGUGGCUGACGCUGAGGCGCGACAGCGUGGGGAGCAAACAGG
rnacentral:rRNA from 1 species